rnacentral:rRNA from 1 species
AUUGAACGCUGGCGGCAUGCCUUACACAUGCAAAUCGAACGGUAACGGGCCUUCGGGUGCCGACGAGUGGCGAACGGGUGAGUAAUACAUCGGAACGUGCCCGAUCGUGGGGGAUAACGAGGCGAAAGCUUUGCUAAUACCGCAUACGAUCUACGGAUGAAAGCAGGGGACCGCAAGGCCUUGCGCGGACGGAGCGGCCGAUGGCAGAUUAGGUAGUUGGUGGGAUAAAAGCUUACCAAGCCGACGAUCUGUAGCUGGUCUGAGAGGAUGAUCAGCCACACUGGGACUGAGACACGGCCCAGACUCCUACGGGAGGCAGCAGUGGGGAAUUUUGGACAAUGGGCGCAAGCCUGAUCCAGCCAUGCCGCGUGCAGGAUGAAGGCCUUCGGGUUGUAAACUGAUUUUGUACGGAACGAAAAGCCUUCUUUUAAUACAGGAGGGUCAUGACGGUACCGUAAGAAUAAGCACCGGCCAACUACGUG